UUUUCUUGGAUUUUUUUUCUUCACAUACUUUGCUUGGAUUUUUUAAAAUACAGAUAUGCUUGUAUAAUCCAUGGAAUGAGCGUUGCAAAGAAAAAGAAAACGAAACAAACCACAUGACCUAACCCUAGAAAAGAAAACUUGAAAUCGCAUUUAAACCCUAAUUCGCAACCUCAUUGCUUUGCCUUUCUCUUGUUUUCUUCUACUGUGCAGGUCAGAGCAGCAGCGGUCAUGAAAGCAUGAGCCUGCAGAACUGGUGUGGAGGACGGCAUUUUUUUUGUGUAUUUUAUAGUUAUUCAAAUUUUCAAUUUUUUUAUAUUUUUUUUGAAUGAAAGAGGGACAGAGCGGUUGGGACGACUCGGUUCAAUUCUGCCCGACGUGAUCGUAGAUCAUAAAGCUCAAAACAAAUCAGAUGCCAUUGUGUUGAGCUUCUGAGAGGCGAGAGCAACCCGUUCACCUGUGCCGCCUCUUGUCGCGGUACAAUCCGCGUUCUUGGCUUCUGUCUGCCACAGAUCAAUAAGCAGCUCUUCCAGUUUAGGGCUCUGCUUCUGGUAGGGUUAAAACCGUAAUUUUAUUAAAAUUUAGUUAUUAAGGUUUAUCAUUUAAUUAAUGGGCGUGAUUUAAGAGGUUUCCAUCGUAGGCGUAUAACCGAAUCAAAAUAGGGGAAACAAAAAAAACAGGAAGAGAAAAUUGCAUAGAUGUAGUUCUCAAACAUAAAGGAAGGUUCUAGAAAUUACUAAGUUUUAAUGAAAAUUUUCCAAUUUUUUAUAAGUUUUGUAUUUUUAUUGCAAAAUUGAUUAGCACGAUGCCAUUUUUCAAUCCGGAGAAGGAACAAAAACUGUGGGAUGUAUAUUUGAAAAAAAUCGGUAGCGUGCAUUGGUCGUUGCAGGGCUUUCAUCAUAGGGCAUCUAACCUCGGAAGAUUCAAAAAGUGUCAAGAAACGACUACGAUCGAUUAAGAAAAAGAAACAUUUGAAGCAGUUUUUGAAUACAUUUUGAAGGAUCAUUGAGUUGUGCAACGCAAUUAUGAUCGAAUUUCUUUUUGUUAAUCUGAUUUUUUUUCCGAUUCUAACUGUGUAGCACAAUUCAUCGAUCCUUCAAUGAUGUAUUGAUGAGCUGCUUCAAUUUUUUUUUUUCAUAUAGAGUUUUCCAAAGUCAAUGUAUAAGAUGCAAGGGUAAUGAUUUCUUGCGGGAGAUCUAUGCAUGCAUUAUGUUCUCGGAUAUUUGGGAUCAGAUACCCUAUAAUGGAAAGCCUUGCGAGACCAUCAGCGCUCUCAAUGUAUUUCGUAACUGUAGAUAUUACGCAAGCUAGAAGAGGCAUCCCAGCCAAGUAACUUUAGAAGCUAGAAAUCUUAUGGCAGUCCUGAAAAAUCUAUACAAGGAAUUACAGCCUACAGAUAGAAGUGUACUACGCUGAAUAGCAUGAUUCAACAGCAAAUGAUUUCAGGUAACCUGCGUCAAAGUACUGAAAUGGUGGAGGCUAACAAAUACUCUUAUCUUAGUAAUGUUCCUCUGGAAUCUCUGUUUUAUGCGGGAUUGGAGAAGUAUGUUGGGAUUUGAAGGAGCUUUUAUUCCAAAGCGAGGUGUCUGUUGUUGGGGUGCAUUCUAUGGGGGGAUGGUGGGAAAGCGAUUUUGGCCUCGGCUAUUUGCAAUGAUCACCAUAUCAAAGGGCUCAUUUCGAGGAAUUACUACUAGAAGUGCCAGAGUACAAGACUGUUAUCAUAACUAGAGACAGUUCUAUCAUCCCCAUAAAGCCCUGUACUCAAUUGUAUCAGUUGCCAGUUCUGGGCCAUGAGGAUGCUCUCUCGCAUUUUUGCUUCUUGGCCUUUGGACAGACAUCAAUUCUAAGUACCGCAAAUGCAAAUCUAGUUAUGGAGUUAUAGUCUUUUAUAACCAAAAAAAACCUUGAAUAAGCUCAAAGUUUUUUAUCGAAUUAAAUAGGGGCAACAACAAAUUUAAAAUGAUUUACGUGCUUAUUUGUGUUUUUGCUUUAAGAACUUGCAGGUGCAAGCUUAAUGUGACCUGGUUGAACGCAAGUAAUAAGCUUUCUCAGGGGGAAUUCAUAUCCAGUGAGCACAAAGAAGGCCUUUUUAGAUGCUUGAAGACCGGUAUCGAUCUUUUGGAUUAUUUUGGGAGAGAAUACAUAUCAGAUUUGGUCUCAUAUUCAGAGAAUGCAGGCUAGACAUUUGGGUUGAUCUUCUGAAGCUGGAGUGGCAAGAUACUUUUAUCAUUUUAUUGUAACUUGCAAGCAAAAAAUCCCUUGAAUUUACUCAGCAGUCCAGAGUAGUUGCCUUACAUAAAUUAAAUUUCUUGCUAUAAUUUUUUUCCAUUGAUCUGAUAUUGUGUCUGUAAUUAUCAAAAGCCAAGCAACAAUAUCUUAUGUAAAUGCCUCCUGAACUGCAUUAGAAUGUAAUUAGCAGCCAAGGGUAUUUGUCUAAUCCUUAUAUUUAUUAAAUUUCAUGCUA